GAUGAACGCUAGCGGCAGGCUUAAUACAUGCAAGUCGAGGGGCAGCAUGACUGUAGCAAUACAGUUGAUGGCGACCGGCAAACGGGUGCGGAACACGUACAGAACCUUCCUUCGAGCGGGGAAUAGCCCAGAGAAAUUUGGAUUAAUACCCCAUAGCAUAACGGAGUGGCAUCACUUUGUUAUUAAAGAUUUAUCACUUGAAGAUGGCUGUGCGGCUGAUUAGGUAGUUGGCGGGGUAACGGCCCACCAAGCCUGCGAUCAGUAACUGGUGUGAGAGCACGACCAGUCACACGGGCACUGAGACACGGGCCCGACUCCUACGGGAGGCAGCAGUAAGGAAUAUUGGUCAAUGGACGAAAGUCUGAACCAGCCAUGCCGCGUGGAGGAUGAAGGUCCCCUGGAUUGUAAACUUCUUUUAUAUGGGACGAAAAAAGGCUUUUCUAAGUCGUCUGACGGUACCAUAUGAAUAAGCACCGGCUAACUCCGUGCCAGCCGCCGCAGUAACAC
rnacentral:rRNA from 1 species